UAAUGUUACUUUAUUCCCUUAGUGAGUAUAGUAUUUCCGCUCUAUCAACAGAACCAUAAUCUGAAAGGAGGCAGCUGAGAAUGUCUGUGGAAGAGAAGUUGAGUUACUCUGGGAGAUGCUCAUAAAUGCUCUAAUUCAACAGGAUGGACACACAAGCCCAGAUAGGAAGACAUCUCUGCAUUUAUAGACAGAAACGAUGGAAAGUAACAUUACCUGGAUUCUCCAUUCACAUGCAAACAUAGUAUUUGUAUAGAAACGGAGAAUGUGUACCACUGUUCUGCAAGGAGGGAGAAGAAAGGAAUGCUGAUGGUGAAUUUGCCCUCUCUUUGUUUACCUCAACCUCUCCAUGGAUUAGUUUGUGUUUUGUGGCUGAAAGUUAGAUGAAAGAAAAAAAUUUAAGAGCGAACAGAAGCAAAGUAACAAAGGAAUCUGCACUCACAUAAAACUCAGUGGCUAAAGUACAAAUUUUCUCCUGCCUUUUAGAACAUGAGACGGCCGACUAGAAAGCACUGUGCCCGGGGACGCUCAAGGUCACGGAACUGUUUUUCUGUUCAGGGAGCUUUUUCAACCCGAUGCAGCAUACAUUAUGCCUGCUAGCUUGCCUCCACGGAAGAGAAAGUCAUGGCUCGGGAGAGGCUUGUUGACAUUGUCCUGCAUGGGGAAUCACAGGCUUGGCUUUAGAGCUGAAGGAUGUAUUAAGGUCUCUACGGAUGUCCUCAUCAGGAGGAGCAGGGGGAUGAUUUGUAAUCCAAAGCCAUUCAUUCUACCUUUAUCCCCAGUGUCAGGCUUUUCUGGCUUCAACCGGGACAGUGAUUCCCACUUGAUUGGACAUUUUUCUGUACCCACAGUUCCAGAUCUUAAUUUUAACCCGAACUAGAAUCCUGUCAUACAUCCUGAUUUGCAUCAUUUUCUGUCCUAAUAUCUAUACUGUGAACAUUUCCAUUUCAGAAUAUACUGAGCUGCUUUGUUCUUAUUAUGCUGCAUGACUGUAUCAUAAUUUAUUUGUCCAAUCUCCUACUGAUAAACUAAAUUAUUUGUAAA
rnacentral:lncRNA from 1 species